CCCUUAGAUGUUCUGGGCCGCACGCGCGCUACACUGAUGCAUUCAACAAGCCUAGCCUUGACCGAGAGGUCCGGGUAAUCUUUGAAACUGCAUCGUGAUGGGGCUAGAUUAUUGCAAUUAUUAAUCUUCAACGAGGAAUGCCUAGUAAGCGUGAUUCAUCAAAUCGCGUUGAUUACGUCCCUGCCCUUUGUACACACCGCCCGUCGCUCCUACCGAUUGAAUGUGUUGGUGAGGAGCUCGGAUUGGCAGCAGUUGGUGGUUCGCCACCGGCUAUUGCUGAGAAGUCCUCCAAACCGCCCCAUUUAGAGGAAGGAGAANUUGUAACA
rnacentral:rRNA from 1 species